rnacentral:rRNA from 1 species
GAUGAACGCUGGCGGCGUGCCUAACACAUGCAAGUCGAACGAAGCUCCCCGAAUUGAGUUUUUCGGACAAGAAGAAGGGAUGACUUAGUGGCGGACGGGUGAGUAACGCGUGGGAAACCUGCCCUAUACAGGGGGAUAGCCUCGGGAAACUGGGAUUAAUACCCCAUAAAAACUCUAGUAUCGCAUGAUACAUGAGCCAAAGAUUUAUCGGUAUAGGAUGGUCCCGCGUCUGAUUAGCUAGUUGGUGAGGUAACGGCCUACCAAGGCUACGAUGGUUAGCUGGUCUGAGAGGAUGAUCAGCCACACUGGAACUGAGACACGGUCCAGACUCCUACGGGAGGCAGCAGUAGGGAAUAUUGGACAAUGGGCGCAAGCCUGAUCCAGCCAUGCCGCGUGAGUGAAGAAGGCCCUCGGGUUGUAAAGCUCUUUUGUCCGGAAAGAAAAGGACGCCGGGUUAAAUACCCUAGUGUCCUGACGGUACCGGAAGAAUAAAGCACCGGCUAACUCCGUGCCAGC